CAUCGCCGCGGUAAUACGAAGGGUGCAAGCGUUAAUCGGAAUUACUGGGCGAAAAGCGUGCGUAGGCGGUUUGUUAAGUCUGUUGUGAAAUCCCCGGGCUCAACCUGGGAAUGGCAAUGGAUACUGGCAAGCUAGAGUGUGUCAGAGGAUGGUGGAAUUCCCGGUGUAGCGGUGAAAUGCGUAGAGAUCGGGAGGAACAUCAGUGGCGAAGGCGGCCAUCUGGGACAACACUGACGCUGAGGCACGAAAGCGUGGGGAGCAAACAGGAUUAGAUACCCCAGUAGUCCCUGUCUCUUAUACA
rnacentral:rRNA from 1 species